ACACACAGGACCCCAGCUCUAAGGACGGUGGCGGAUCUGAUGCUGCAACAUAACGCGGAGAAAGGAUUUCUGGGAUUCCCUCUGACAAAAAAACCCACACGCCCGUUUGGCCACAGUUCUAAUUUUUACGGGAUGGACCUCUGCUGAACCUGCGUUUCCGUGAAGGCUCCAAAACUGGAUGGCAAUGUAUACAAGGUUCUGUUUUGGGUGUCUACAUCUCUUUGGUGAGUAUUGCUGAACAUAGAUUGAAAGGAGAUAAGAAUACCCACUCCAAGUUGGAUUUACAAUCAAGUCCAAUCAGAAACAACGGUUGAAAAUAAUCUGGCCUUGAAAUCCGUAAAUUCAUAUGGACUUAUUUAUGGACAAUUGGUUUUGAUGUUCUAGCGCCCUCCGGGCUUCUUCAUUUGUCCACAUUGUUUUGUUCCCACUAACAGGGGUUCUACCGUGAGGUGCUGCUCUCUGAAGCUCGUGAUAAGGUUGUUUUUUUUUGUACUGUAUAAUGUAUCGAGAAAAAUUGUCUUAGAAAUUGAAUGACAAAUGGUUGAAAGUUAAUUACUUUGCUGGGAUGUACUCGUACACACCAUAACUCCAGAGACCAAAUGCUAAUGACCCUGUGUUCUAUGUGGAGCUGUUGAUCUAAGUCCAGGUUCUGGGACAGAACUUGAUUACAAUAUAGUCCAGAGGAGACACACUACCCACCAGAGGUGUCCAAUCUCCGUUGUUGUAGGGGAAAAGAGAUUGCUUGGAGAAAGCAUUUAGACCACUCCUUCCUGAGUAGGCCAUUAAAACCUACAUAGCACUGCUUGGAAUUCCAUUCCUUUAAGUUUCAAGUAAUUAAGUGCCCCUGGGGACACCCCUCAGAGACGAUAUGGCCAGAAGAGCCAUAUUGAAGCAUGUUGUAAAAACUGGACCAGUCUGAUUACAAGACCAGAUCUCUAAGCGUCAAACAGAAAUAGAGAUAAGUGCAUUAUCUCCUGCUUGAGUGACCUAGGGACCGCAUAGCAUAAUCUUACACUCAAUCCCUUCUGGUUUUAGGAGGGUUAAAAUACCUGGGAGCUGAGAGCGAACUGGAGUGGGUUUAAAUAUGAGAAACACUCCACAGACUGUGUUCCUUGUCGUGAGGUGGAUCAAUAGACAUAAAGACUUGAUCAUAAUGAAACAAAGCUAUAGGAAGAGGCCUCACUUCCGUACCAUUGUUCAACACUACAGGUUAUCUGAACUUUGCUUUUUCUCCCCUUAUUUUAUUUCUUGAAGUUAUUACUAGAGUGAUCUUUUAAAAACUAUUAAAAUC